CCUACGGGGGGCAGCAGUGGGGAAUUUUGGACAAUGGGCGAAAGCCUGAUCCAGCAAUGCCGCGUGCAGGACGAAGGCCUUCGGGUUGUAAACUGCUUUUGUACGGAACGAAAAAGCUCUUUCUAAUAAAGAGAGCUCAUGACGGUACCGUAAGAAUAAGCACCGGCUAACUACGUGCCAGCAGCCGCGGUAAUACGUAGGGUGCAAGCGUUAAUCGGAAUUACUGGGCGUAAAGCGUGCGCAGGCGGUUAUAUAAGACAGAUGUGAAAUCCCCGGGCUCAACCUGGGACCUGCAUUUGUGACUGUAUAGCUAGAGUACGGUAGAGGGGGAUGGAAUUCCGCGUGUAGCAGUGAAAUGCGUAGAUAUGCGGAGGAACACCGAUGGCGAAGGCAAUCCCCUGGACCUGUACUGACGCUCAUGCACGAAAGCGUGGGGAGCAAACAGGAUUAGAUACCCGAGUAGUC
rnacentral:rRNA from 1 species